ensembl:lncRNA
GCGUCCGAUACCCCGCCGGGACGACCCCUCCGAAAGCUUCGCGGGCCCCGGCAUCGCUGAGCGCCGUCACUCGGAUAACCUCGCUUACUGCCGGGCUUCGUGCACUGUUCCGAAAUUCAUUCAUUUCAGAUAAGGGAAAGCGAGAGGCUAUAUACCCCAACUUCGAAAUCACAAGCAUUGCACUUCUUAUGCUACAUCACUCCUUAGCUCCAGAAACUGCUCGGUUGUACCAUCCCUACAACCAACUAAACUUCUUUUGCCAAAGCGUGUCUGUCUGGAUCCAGUAGAGCUGGUGGAGCUUUUCAUGUACAGCCUGAGCAGUUUAUGAUAAUCACUUUCUCGUACCAUACUUGUGGCUGAGUUCUCACAACUACUCCUAUAUCCAAUACCUGACAGAGAAGGCCUAUGAAGUUUUGGGAAAGUCUCCUUGUUGAAGCACGCGCAGUCAUAAGGAAGUAAGAAAUUCAUGUGUAGCAAAGCAGAGUAGAUCUAGGAUUGGGGUAUAGAACUGAAAUGUAUAUAUUUAAUUGUAACUGUAACCAUGGACAUUGCUAUUGCCAUAGUUCCUUGUAGAGUGAGGUUAAGCUGGCAUAGAAAGAGUGUGGGAAGUUUGUUACUGUUUUAGGGUACAAGACUUACUGUUACAAGACCUCAAAGGACUAACUCCUUUCCAGAAGCGUUUCUUGUGCGCAAAAAGUAUGCAGUCAGCAAUAUGAUGCUGCCUGCACUGAAGAAGUGAGCGAUCAGGAUUCAUUGAUAGUUGUAUAAGCUCAGAUAUGCUGAAGGUGGCUGCAGUAUGAACUGCCAAGAAACAUAAGGCACUAAAAAGGGUGAUUUUUUGUAACAAAAAAACAGAAGUGCAAUUUCCGUCUGACUCGUUGAAAAUAUGGUAGUAAACUUUUGUGUCUGUAUCAACUGAAGAAAUACUCAUCUCCCUGGGAUUGUUUAAAAUAAUUGGAUGAAUAUUCCCAGCUAUCCUGAUUACAUUUUGAGAGCUCUGUGGAG